rnacentral:rRNA from 1 species
ACCGGAGGAAGGUGGGGAUGACGUCAAGGUCCUCAUGGCCCUUAUGGUAGGGCUCACACGUCAUACAAUGGUCGGUACAGGAGGGUUGCCAACCCGCGAGGGGGAGCUAAUCCCACAAAGCCGAUCGUAGUCCGGAUCGCAGUCUGCAACUCGACUGCGUGAAGUCGGAAUCGCUAGUAAUCGUGGAUCAGCAUGUCACGGUGAAUACGUUCCCGGGUCUU